rnacentral:rRNA from 1 species
UGCUGUUGAAAGAGCUCGUAGUUGGAUCAAGAGUGGGACAGUGCACGGUGGCCCCAUUUGGUAUCGUGGUUCCGAUCACGGUGCCGGUGGCGGAUCAACCCCGUGCGCCAAACUGUCCACUCUAACAGACCGAAACGGUUCCCUGUGAGUAGGUUCCUUCAUUGGGACUGAAAGCGCUUACGCAUCAACCAUAUGCAUACGGGACGUCGGUCAAAGUUACUGUGAACAAACCAGCGUGUCCAAAACAGGCUUUCGCCUGAAUGUUCGAGCAUGGAAUAACAAGGGAUCGAUUCUCUCGGUUCUUUUUGUUGGUUUUUAACCCGAGAAGGAGUAAUUCAGGCCACGGUGUCUGAGUUGGGUUUCCCUUCGCCUCGGUGGAGGCCCCAAUUAGGCCGUGUCCUUACGGGAUCAAUAGGGACUGACGGGGUCGUACGUACUUCCACGUCAGAGGUGAAAUUCUUAGAUCGUGGGAAGACGAACUUCUGCGAAAGCAUUCGACAAGAAUGUCUUCAUUAAUCAAGAACGAGAGUGUGGGGAUCGAAGAUGAUCAGAUACCGUCGUAGUCCACUACUGUAAACAAUGCCGUCUCAGGAUUGAGAAGUGAACAGAAUGACUUUCACAGCACUAACCCCUGAAACGAGAAAUCAAAGAUUAUGGGUCAGGGGG